rnacentral:rRNA from 1 species
GUGGGGAAUAUUGGACAAUGGGCGAAAGCCUGAUCCAGCCAUGCCGCGUGUGUGAAGAAGGUCUUCGGAUUGUAAAGCACUUUAAGUUGGGAGGAAGGGCAGUAAGUUAAUACCUUGCUGUUUUGACGUUACCGACAGAAUAAGCACCGGCUAACUUCGUGCCAGCAGCCGCGGUAAUACGAAGGGUGCAAGCGUUAAUCGGAAUUACUGGGCGUAAAGCGCGCGUAGGUGGUUUUGUAAGUUGGAGGUGAAAUCCCCGGGCUCAACCGGGGAACUGCCUCCAAAACUGCAUGACUAGAGUACGGUAGAGGGUAGUGGAAUUUCCUGUGUAGCGGUGAAAUGCGUAGAUAUAGGAAGGAACACCAGUGGCGAAGGCGACUACCUGGACUGAUACUGACACUGAGGUGCGAAAGCGUGGGGAGCAAACAGGAUUAGAAACCCGGGUAGUCC